AUACGUAGGGAGCGAGCGUUGUCCGGAAUUACUGGGUGUAAAGGGAGCGUAGGCGGGAGUGCAAGUCAGAUGUGAAAUACAUGGGCUCAACCCAUGGGCUGCAUUUGAAACUGCAUUUCUUGAGUGAAGUAGAGGUAAGCGGAAUUCCUGGUGUAGCGGUGAAAUGCGUAGAUAUCAGGAGGAGCACCGGUGGCGAAGGCGGCUUACGGGGCUUUUACUGACGCUGAGGCUCGAAAGCGUGGGGAGCAAACAGGAUUAGAUACCCUGGUAGUCCACGCUGUAAACGAUGAUUACUAGGUGUGGGGGGACUGACCCCUUCCGUGCCGCAGUUAACACAAUAAGUAAUCCACCUGGGGAGUACGGCCGCAAGGUUGAAACUCAAAUGAAUUGGCGGGG
rnacentral:rRNA from 1 species